rnacentral:hammerhead_ribozyme from 1 species
ACACUGCUGAAGAGUCCUGUAAUAGGACGAAACGACCGUUCAGUGU